GCUACGGGUGGCAGCAGUGAGGAAUAUUGGUCAAUGGCCGGAAGGCUGAACCAGCCAAGCCGCGUGAAGGACGAAGGUGCCAAGCAUUGGAAACUUCUUUUGUCAAGGGACAAAAUCAGGCUCGAGAGCCUGACCGAGGGUACUUGAAGAAAAAGCAUCGGCUAACUAAGUGCCAGCAGCCGCGGUAAUAAGGAGGAUGCGGGCGGUAACCGGAUUGAUUGGGUUUAAAGGGUGCGUCGGCGGACGGUUAAGGCAGCGGUAAAAGCGCGGGGCUCAACCCCGGCGAGCCGUUGAAACUGGCUGUCUUGAGAUGUCGAGAGGUAUGCGGAAUGCGCAGUGUAGCGGUGAAAUGCUUAGAUAUUGCGCAGAACUCCGAUUGCGAAGGCAGCAUACCGGCGGCGAUCUGACGCUGAGGCACGAAAGCGUGGGUAUCGAACAGGAUUAGAUACCCGUUUAGUC
rnacentral:rRNA from 1 species